rnacentral:rRNA from 1 species
UACGUAGGGUGCAAGCGUUGUCCGGAAUUAUUGGGCGUAAAGAGCUCGUAGGCGGCUUGUUGCGUCGACUGUGAAAACCCGCGGCUUAACUGCGGGCUUGCAGUUGAUACGGGCAGGCUAGAGUCGGUAGGGGAGACUGGAAUUCCGUGGUGUAGCGGUGAAAUGCGCAGAUAUCAGGAGGAACACCAGUGGCGAAGGCGGCUCACUGGCCCGGUACUGACGCUGAGGUGCGAAAGCGUGGGGAGCAAACAGG